GGCACCAACAGCUUCUUUAUAACCUCCUUUAUUUUUAUAUUCUUUGAGUAAACCAGAAAUAUCGGCUAUAUAUGCCAAAAGGUUACAAACAAUAGGAUAAUAAGUACCGAAAAAUUCAACCGUAGCUACAUAAAAUUUUUCUAAAAACUUAACAAGAUCAUUAAUUACAACCCAAUCAGAAUCAUGUAGCAUGCAAUCAGCAGAA
rnacentral:lncRNA from 1 species